CUUCAGCGAUCCGAGCCACAGCGGGAGGCCGGCGGGUCGGUCCUGCCCGUAGGCGGCCUGGAGCGCCUGCGCCUC
rnacentral:antisense_RNA from 3 species